AUCUUACCCGGGGAGUCGUAACCUUGCUCCUUGGGUGACGAGUGGGGGACGGGUGAGUAAUGUCUGGGAAACUGCCCGAUGGAGGGGGAUAACUACUGGAAACGGUAGCUAAUACCGCAUAACGUCGCAAGACCAAAGAGGGGGACCUUCGGGCCUCUUGCCAUCGGAUGUGCCCAGAUGGGAUUAGCUAGUAGGUGGGGUAACGGCUCACCUAGGCGACGAUCCCUAGCUGGUCUGAGAGGAUGACCAGCCACACUGGAACUGAGACACGGUCCAGACUCCUACGGGAGGCAGCAGUGGGGAAUAUUGCACAAUGGGCGCAAGCCUGAUGCACCAUGCCGCGUGUAUGAAGAAGGCCUUCGGGUUGUAAAGUACUUUCAGCGAGGAGGAAGGUGUUGUGGUUAAUAACCGCCCAAUUGAGUUACUCGCAAAAACACCGGCUACUCCGUGCCCCCCCCCGGGUAAUACCGAGGGUGCAAGCUUAAUCGAAAUACUGGCGUAAAGCGCCCCAGGC
rnacentral:rRNA from 1 species